CCUAAAACCAAGAAAGACACUUCUAAGAAGCAGAACCUCUGACCAAAUAGAUCCGGACACAGCCGACCAACGAACCAAGUUACCCUAGGGAUAACAGCGCAAUCCCCUUUCAGAGCCCAUAUCGACAAGGGGGUUUACGACCUCGAUGUUGGAUCAGGACAUCCUAAUGGUGCAGCCGCUAUUAAGGGUUCGUUUGUUCAACGAUUAAAGU
rnacentral:rRNA from 1 species